rnacentral:snRNA from 1 species
AUCGCUUCUCGGCCUUUUGGCUAAGAUCAAGUGUAGUAUCUGUUCUUAUCAGUAAAAUAACUAUGUGUCCUGGCCAGUGUGCCUCAGUUGGUUGGAGCAUCGUUCUGUGCACCGAAAGGUUUGAUUCCUGGUCAGGGUAUAUACCCAGGUUUCAGGUUUAAGCACCAUUGGAGGCAUGAAUGGGAGGCAUUGUUUCUCUCUCUUUCUCCCUCUCC